rnacentral:lncRNA from 1 species
ACUCGCGCUUGGCUCUCCUCAACCACGGAAUUGGGCUUCGCCUGCCAGGACUGCGUGUCCCUCUUUGCACACCCGUGGCCUGGCUUUGCAUGCUUUCUUCUGAGGGACACACCAAGCUUCCAGCUGCCUCGCCCCGGACCCCCAGAGCUGAGGCUCCCUCUGCAGUUUGAACCAGCAGUGUGGAUGGGAGGAGCAGCAGAGUGUGUGGCCUCAUGAGAGAUGUGAGAGCUAGGGACACCCCAGUGCCUGGAGGUCGUGUGGAGUCACAUCUCGGGUGUCUCAGGUAGGAGGAACAGCAUGAACAAAAGCAUGGCGAUGGCAUUUAGAAAAGCAUUUGGGAAAGCUGGAGAUUUAGCUCAGUAGCACCUCACCUGCCUGGCAAGCGCAAGGUCCUGAGUUUGAUCCCCGGUACCAAAAAAAGAAAAGCAUUGGGGGCUGGCAGGUGAGGAGGGCUCGGAUCUUCUGGCAGGGCAGGGAGCGGUGCUGGUGCUGGUGCUGGUUCUGGGUGCAUCGCUCACACGUUUGCCAGAGGAGUCUGAUCUUUGAAGACCAUGAAACCUUUCCUCCCUUGAAAACUUACCCACUGUCCCCCUUGGCAGUGUACUCUGGCCAAAAUAAACUCAUCUCUUCUACGCGCCCCCCAUAAUGAAACCAAAGUUCAGAGAUGAGAGAAAAUACUAUUUCUUGAGCGUCUCCUACAUGCCUGGCCCCGUGGUUUAUACUUCUUUUGCGCUGACAUCUACAUUGGCUCAGAAGAAGGAGUGGCCGGCCCAGGUCCACCGACGGGAGCUGUUCCAGGGUGGGAUGGGCUGUGGGGCCCUGCCAGGCCUUGUGCGGGGGGCUGGUGGGCAGUGGAGUUGGGCGGCUGCGGGGCCUGUGACCCCGCCUAUGGGAGCAGGCUGGAGAGGCUCCUUGCUGUUCCUCCCUGGGGCAGGCAGGCCCUUGUCCUCUGGCAGCGUGGUGAGGGUGGGAGGCCUCGGGCUCAGGCUAUGUGCUCGUGGAGGGUGGACACUGGGAGAGAAGCAGCUACAGAGCCCCUGGCUCCCUCUGCAGGGCCCUGCACCUCCACAGGCACUUUUGCCCCCUGCCAGGCCUGUGGGAAGGGCCGGUCUGGUACUCAUCGUCCCUGUCC